rnacentral:rRNA from 1 species
GCUGGAAUCGCUAGUAAUCGCAGAUCAGCAUGCUGCGGUGAAUACGUUCCCGGGCCUUGUACACACCGCCCGUCACACCAUGGGAGUCGGUAACACCCGAAGUCGGUAGCCUAACCGUAAGGAGGGCGCCGCCGAAGGUGGGAUUGAUGACUGGGUGAAGUCGUAACAAGGUAGC